AGAGUUUGAUCAUAGCUCAGAAUCAACGCUGGCGGCGUGCCUAACACAUGCAAGUCGAACGCGGUUAGUAGCAAUACUAACUGAGUGGCAAACGGGUGAGUAACACGUGGGUGACCUACCUUCGAGUGGGGGAUAACGUCCCGAAAGGGACGCUAAUACCGCAUAACAUCCUGUCCUUGAACGGAUGGAGAUCAAAGCCGGGGAUCGUAAGACCUGGCGCUUGAUGAGGGGCCCGCGUCUGAUUAGCUAGUUGGUGAGGUAACGGCCCACCAAGGCGACGAUCAGUAUCCGGCCUGAGAGGGCGGACGGACACACUGGGACUGAGACACGGCCCAGACUCCUACGGGAGGCAGCAGUGGGGAAUUGUUCACAAUGGGCGCAAGCCUGAUGACGCAACGCCGCGUGGAGGAUGAAGGUCUUCGGAUUGUAAACUCCUGUUGCUCGGGACGAAAAGCUUCGACCUAACACGUCGAGGUCUGACGGUACCGAGUGAGGAAGCCCCGGCUAACUCUGUGCCAGCCGCCGCC
rnacentral:rRNA from 1 species